rnacentral:rRNA from 1 species
UACGGAGGAUGCAAGCGUUAUCCGGAAUGAUUGGGCGUAAAGCGUCCGCAGGUGGCAAUGUAAGUCUGCUGUUAAAGAGUCUAGCUCAACUAGAUAAAAGCAGUGGAAACUACAUAGCUAGAGUACGUUCGGGGCAGAGGGAGUUCCUGGUGUAGCGGUGAAAUGCGUAGAGAUCAGGAAGAACACCAGUGGCGAAGGCGCUCUGCUAGGCCGUAACUGACACUCAUGGACGAAAGCUAGGGGAGCGAAUGGG